GGUGCUAUAGUGUAGUGGUUAUCACAGUGGAUUCUGACCAGAGACUCUCGCUAACCCAGGUUCGAUUCCUGGUAGUACCU